AACGAACGCUGGCGGCAUGCCUAACACAUGCAAGUCGAACGAGACCUUCGGGUCUAGGUGCGCACGGGUGCUUAACGCGUGGGAACCUGCCCUUAGGUUCGGAAUAACUCCCCGAAAGGUGUGCUAAUACCGGUUAAUGUCUUCGGACCAAAGAUUUAUCGCCUUUGGAUGGGCCCGCGUUGGAUUAGCUAGUUGGUAGGGUAAAAGCCUACCAAGGCGACGAUCCAUAGCUGGUCUGAGAGGAUGAUCAGCCACACUGGGACUGAGACACGGCCCAGACUCCGACGGGAGGCAGCAGUGGGGAAUAUUGGACAAUGGGCGAAAGCCUGAUCAAGCAAUGCCGCGUGAGUGAUGAAGGCCUUAGGGUUGUAAAGCUCUUUUACCCGGGAUGAUAAUGACAGUACCGGGAGAAUAAGCUCCGGCUAACUCCGUG
rnacentral:rRNA from 1 species